AGUGAGCUGAGAUUGCACCACUGCACUCUGGGCAAUAGAGCCAGACCUUGUCUCAAAAAUAAAUAAGUAAAUGAAACAUGACUCGGAUUCUGCUUCCUUUUCUUUGUCAAACAGUAGUUUCCCACCUGAAUAAAAUCUCAGCUACAUUGUAGACUGCAGGAUUUUAUCUGAUUUGGUCUUGGCCCGCCUUUGCAACCUCAUCUACGUUCCCCGUUCCCUGCUUGCUCACUAAACUCUGAGGUGGUUCUUCUGUCUCCCAGAUAUUUUUGUAGCUCUUUUUUGAGAUGGAGUCUUACUCUGUCACUUAGGCUGGAGUGCAGUGAUGCAGUUUCAGCUCAUUACAACCUCUGCCUCCCAGGUUUAAGCGAUUCUCUUGCCUCAGCCUCCUGAGGAGCUGGGACUACAGACACCCGCCACCAUGCCUGGCUAAUACUUGCAUUUUUGAAGGACGGGUGUUCACCAUGUUGGCUAGGCUGGUCUUGAACUCCUGACCUCAAGUUAUCCACCUACCUCGGCUCCAAAGUGCUGGUAUUACAGGCGUGAGCCACCAUCCCUGGCCUUUGUAAAUCUCUUACAAAAGCCUUUCUCAGAAGAAUUUCACAUGACCUCUUUUCAUUCACGUUGUUUUGCUUGUUGUGCUUAAUUUUUCUUUUUUCAAGACAAGGUCUCCUUCUGUCACCCAGGCUGGAAUGCAGUGGUGUAAUCAUAGCUCACUGCAGCCUCAAACUCCUAGACCCAAGUGAUCAUCUUACUUCAGUAGAAUAGACCACAGGCAAGUACCGCCAUGCCUAGCUACUUAAAAUUUUAUUUUAUUUUUUUUAUAGAGACAGGGUCUCAGUCACUGUGUUGCCCAGGCUGCUCUCAAACUUCUGGCCCCAAACGAUCCUACUGCCUUGACCUCCCAAAAUGUUGGUAUUACACGUGUGAGCCACUGUGCCUGGCAAUGCCUACAUUUUUCCCCCCAUCUUCAUCACUUAUUCACACAGAGAAAAUUUUCAGGAGAAAAAAUGGAGUCAUGGUAUGGAUUUAUUAUUUUUGAGACAAGGUCUGGCUCUAUUGCCCAAUUAAAGUGUUUGGAUGAGUAUUACAGAUUGUUUAUUCAUUCAGUAAAUUUUUAUUGAACAUUUUGUUUCUGUCUGUGCAUAUAAUAGUGAAGAAAAUAGACACUGUCCCUAUCUUCUUUGUGUUUGAUGUCUAGUAGGUGGCAAGAGAAAAAUCAGGUACAUAAAGAAAUUCUUAGGCAACUGCAUCAUAUACUAAAGGGUCAGGAGCAAGAAUAGCCAGCAGGGAGGGUGAGUGAGUAGUCCAGUUUUUAAUAGAUGUUGGUAGAAUAUGUACCCUGACUGAAGUGGAAAGAGAAGAAAGUUGGGUUGGAUAAAUAGGAGUUAAGAUAUCCUGCUGUGGGACCAGAGAGUGGAAUGAGGUUGGUGGAAUGGGAGAAGACUUAUUUUUAACGAUCGAUAUAAAUUGUGAUGUAUGUUCUGUGUACUAGCUAUGUCACAUACAAUGGCGUAUGGUCUUGGUGGAACCCCAAGCCGUAAGAAGACCAGAGGACCUGGAAGUAAGUUUAAAAGGUUUCUUCAGGAAAGUAGACUUUUUAAAUUUGAGUUUAACAUGAAGGCUACUAGUUUUAUAAGUUUGUUUUUCUCUCACACCUUUUCUUCCUUUGUUAUACAUUGAAGAGAAGACCAGAACCAACACAAAUGGGAGAGGUUCACUGCCAGGAGAAACCCGCCAGGAAAUGCUCAGAAGGGUCUCCUGGCUAAAAUGUAGCUACUGGAACUCAUUGUUGAUGUGAUUAUCAUGUAUCGUUUCUAUGUGUGAUCAUUAUAUAUACUUCAGACAUUGGUCUAGUUAAUUCUUCUAGUAAUUGAACUUUAAAAUGACAAUGUGGCUGAGAUUUGCAGAGAAAUGAUUCAGUAAAAAUUGCGUGUGAUGGAGGGAGCACCUAAUCCUCUUAGAUUUUGAUACAUUGGCUAUAUUAUACCAACAUAGAUUGAAAAUCUCUGUACGAAUGCUGGGAGGAGAAAAAGCAUGUAAUUAGUAGUUUGAGGAAAUAGUGUUGCCCAAAACAUUUCCCUGACUUGUAAUCGUGUCUGUUUGAGUGGAUAGUUACUCAGGUAUUUUGGGGAGUUGGUAAGAGUUACUGGUUUCCCUCUGCCCUAUCCUGUUUUCAGCGGCUUGCUUCCUUUAGCCUGGUCUUUGACCUCAUGUUUAUUACUGUUCCGUUGGAUGGAUUAUAGGAAUUUAAAAAAUAACCUGUAAAAUCGACCUUGCUUUUUUGGCUUGCUUUUAUAAAAUGGUAAUUUCAAGUGUUUUCUAAGAACAGACCAGAUUUCUUAGUUAUAUGAUAGACAUUACUCAGUUCCUGCAUUUUGGUUUUAGUCUCUAUUUGCGAAAUAUAUCAGUUAUAUUCUUUUCAGCAUCCUGGACUUUGUAUUUUAUAGUAAGUACAAGUUAGGAAGAAUGGGAAUGCUACCAAGUCUGGGGACCUGAUCUCUGCCAGAAACACUGUUUUUUCGUCUCUCCUUGACAAGAGAUGAUGAAAACUUGGCCUUAAAUGUAUAACGCAGCAUCUGCAAAAGGUUUUAAAAAUGUUCAAGUUGACAUUAUGAUAUAAUUUUGGUUAAUAGUCACAUUAUAGUAUAUAUAUUCCAAGUAUUUUUGGAGCAUAAAUAAAUGGAAUCAACUCUAAUUUGCCAAAACUCUCAUUUUUUUCCUAUAUACUAUAGUAUGAAAUAUAUAUCUGAAUACCUAAAAUUUUCGUGUGUGUUUUCCCAGUGUUAGUGUCUUAACCAUUUCCUUAAUUUUGCAUCCUUGUUAUCAUCCUGUCUUUUUUUUGCUCCUGUCUUCACCCUAGGCUUCUGUCUGGAGGCGCGCCUUUUCCUGCUCCAGUCUGAACCGGCUGCUGUCUAGAGAGCAGCAGGAGCAGAACUGUACCCGACAGGCCUCAGUGCUUCUCUGGGUUGGACGUGCUCUUGGCUGGAUUAUCAUUAGAUGAAUACUGGACAGCUCAUGUUGACAGUUGACUAUAAGUUUUCUGUUUGUCCCUUAAUAGUUAUUUUCCUUUGGCUAGUGCACACACACACACACACACACACACACACAUAAAAUAGCCUGGUUGCUAGUGUGGAAAUACUAAAAUGAGUUUCCUUUUUUUUCCUCUAAGAGUUUUAUCACAUCAUUAAAAGUAACUUAUGUGUUAAAAUGCUAAUUUAAUGUGAAUGUUUGUUUGAUGCCAUAUAAACUAAUAAGAGAACACUGUAUUUGGUCAACAAAAGGAAUGGUUUCUAAACAACCUAUAGGGGUACAUAAAUGAAUUGCAAGAGAUUAUGUCAUUGUUACAUUUGUGAAGGGCCAAGAUUGCUUGUGCUGAAUUAGUAGACACUGGAGUCAUAGAUUAGAUUAGAAAUAAUUGAUUCUGCAGUAGGUGUUGGUGACGUGGAAUAUAAGCUCCGUCUGGCAAGUAUUUGCUCCAUCGAAGAUUAAGUCAGCCAGUGUGGGUUAGAUAUGAGGUGCUUCUGUCUUCCAGCAACUCCAAGCAACUACUAAAUGUUAGAAGACAGCACAGUAAUUAUAAAACAAUGCAGAAAAAGUCUAAGAGAGAACAGAACAUCAGCACCUUUUAACAGUCAACUUGAGACUUGUUACAUAUGCAUGAAUUGAGAGGCAGACGGAAGGAAAAAUUCAAGAUUAUACAAAUUAAUAAAAAAUAUGUGUUGGAAUCUUGUUCUCAAAGCAUGCAUUUUGUUAUGGUCAGCUUUUGGAACAUCAUGUGACAGGUUAUCUAGCAUCCCAUUAUCUGUAAGAACCACCUGCUGUGUGUACAGUUCAGUAGUAGUGCUAGGUAUACUUUGGCACCUUGAUGAAUUACACAUGAAACCUGUUGCCCAAAAUAAAUGUGUUUACAGGGAGUUUGGCAAAGAGAAAUGAAUGUAAGAUGGAAUAAUUGGGAAGGAUUUUCA